rnacentral:lncRNA from 1 species
GGUUCGAUGCCACGUCGACGGUAGGCAAAGUGCCUUAACCGAUGAUGCUAUGAUUGAGCCAAGAUUGAAAUCUUUCGCUUUCCGAUAGGAACCUGUGGAUCCUAUUUACAAUCUGAUCCACAGAGCCGAUUUACUGCGAUUAUAUCUAAUUGUCAAUUGCUGAUUUAAUUUCAGUGUUUUUUCAUCUGUAUGUUGUUUUGAUUGAAGCCUAUGAUGAUUGUAUUUUUAGUUGGAAUUACCGACUGAUGUCUUUGAUGAUAAAUUACUGGCUUUCUGAAGGCUUCAG